UGGUCAGGCGCAGUGGUUCUUACCUAUUCCUCCUUCAGGCAGGCAGACCAGAACGCAAUCACUAGAGUUCCCAAAAUAUUUGGUUAACAUGUUUGUGUAAUCAGAAAUUACAAUACCCUGAUGGCUCCUAUCUGAU
ensembl:snoRNA U8 U8 small nucleolar RNA